UAAAUUUUUAUUUCGCUGAUUUGCUAAAAGAGGAAAUACUUUGUAAAUUUAUACUUCUUAUUUGAUCUGAACUUUAAAUUCUGAUAGUCUUUAUUUUCUGAAAUUUUUGCAAAUUUAAAAUCAGUCGCUUAAAUAAUUUUUUGUAUGAAAUUUACAGUAGUGCAUGUAUUAUAUAUUUAUUUGUAUACUUAAUCCGACUAAUAUGGUGUAUGAUUGCUUACCUAGGUACCGAGUAUGAUCCGUCGGGUAGCGCCGGGACUGAGUGAACGUUAGAUGUAGUUAGUAUUUGAUUUUAGUCCUUUUUGAUUUUGUCUAAUAUAUUUAGAUGUGUA
rnacentral:lncRNA from 1 species